UUUUAUUUGAGAGUUUGAUCCUGGCUCAGGAUGAACGCUGGCGGCGUGCCUAACACAUGCAAGUUGAGCGAUUUACUUCGGUAAAGAGCGGCGGACGGGUGAGUAACGCGUGGGUAACCUACCCUGUACACACGGAUAACAUACCGAAAGGUAUGCUAAUACGGGAUAAUAUAUUUGAGAGGCAUCUCUUGAAUAUCAAAGGUGAGCCAGUACAGGAUGGACCCGCGUCUGAUUAGCUAGUUGGUAAGGUAACGGCUUACCAAGGCGACGAUCAGUAGCCGACCUGAGAGGGUGAUCGGCCACAUUGGAACUGAGACACGGUCCAAACUCCUACGGGAGGCAGCAGUGGGGAAUAUUGCACAAUGG
rnacentral:rRNA from 1 species